rnacentral:lncRNA from 1 species
AAAUAUUGGAGUAGCAGUGUUCAUCACAGGAAGUGAGAAGCAUUGACCAUGUCGCUCGCAAAUCCUACUCUUUUCAGGACUUCACCAUCCAUUAGAGCCGAGUCACGCACGGCGGAUGUUUCGCUACCGCUCCCUAAUACUCCUUUCGCCCGUGCUCUUCGGUUCUCGAACAUUCCCACUAUCUCAAUUGCUACCGGAAACCGGACCAGACGGUUAAGAUCUGUUCGUUGUCUAUCUGGUAAAUGGAUUCUUAAUUUCUUAUAAUAGUAGUUUAUUAGGGUUUUAAAUCUGAGUAGGUAGUCCUACUUAUUUCUCAAUAAAAUCGAAUUUGGAGAACUCUCUUUAUGUAUUUAUUUCUUCUGUGUUUGUUUGUGUAGUUGAGUGAAUUUGUGUAUAAGUGUCUUGUUUAAUUAAGGAGAAGUUUAAUUUUCUGAUGGCGUUGGAAGUUAGUACAUGGUAAUGUCAGAUAAUUGAGAAUUUUCUGGUGAAAUUUAGAUACUAAAUCAAGAGGGAAAAUCUUUGCCUCUUUCUGGCAGGUUGCUUUUUGUGACUUGAAUUAAUAGCGUUUUAAUUAGUAGUAAGUUAUAGUAUCUGUUGAUUGGCUUAUCUAAACCAUGAUCUUGCGCACAAUUUGGGAUCAUUCUGUUUUCUAAGAAUGACUUGUUAGAUUCAAAUAGCGGUUAAUGAUGUAAUUCUUAUCAUUAAUGCAAACAAAGUAAAUAGCUUACUAAGUAACUCAUUUUUAUAAGCAUUCAUAGAUCGAGAUCCCAAGUAUAAAUACUUGGCUAUAUCGAUUUAAGUUCUUACCAGUCCUGCGAGGUGGGGAGGUUAGUCUCAGAGGUGGAGAGAAAGCUUAAAUGUUUUGUGCAAGAUAUAUUAAAUACCACCAAGGUUCUUAGUGUUCUCUUUGUUAGUAGAAGCUCACUUAGUAGAAGAUACUUGAUUGCUAGAAGAGGCAAUUCGUAAAGCAAGAUCUAGAUGAAAGUAGAUAUUAUUCAGAGGAUAUUGUACGCCUCUGCAUUGGCAUUGUUUGUAGGUUAUUGAGAAGAGUUGUGAUGUUAAGGAUGGUCUUGUUGAAAAGAAACCUUCAGUGAAUGACAUCCUUUCAAUCAGGCUUUGGCGGCAUAGAUGCUUGCUUGAUGCUUUUUAGUAAAGCACCCAGAUAAAAUUUACAAUUUUCGAUUUAUGCCUGCAAAUAAAUGUCAUAGAGAGACCUGUUAACCACCGACCUUUUGGCUGCUCCAGGUCGUGUGCAUCUUUUUUCUUGUGAACUACUGAUAAACACAAGGGAGUCCUUUUUUUCAUUUAGCCUUUGUCUGUCAAUGUUUUUAUAUUUCUCUCUUAUUAUACUUGGAAUUUAUCAAUUAGUCUCUGUAUUCUGUAAUUUGUUAGCUUUAAAGAAUUAAGAAUUGCUGACAUGUGUUUGGAUGUACCUUCAUGUUCCUGUAGCUCUGAAUCCUAACUUGAAGGAUACGCUGGAUAAGGUUGUCACAUCGCAAAAAAUUGUGCUGUUCAUGAAGGGUACCAAGGACUUUCCACAAUGCGGAUUCUCAAAUACCGUUGUACAGAUAUUAAAAUCGCUAAAUGCACCCUUCGAGACAAUA